GGACUACGGGGGUAUCUAAUCCCUUUUGCGCCCCUAGCCUUCAUCCCUCACUGUCAGAUCCGUACUCGCAAAGUGCCUUCGCCAUUGUUAGUCUAAUUGAGAUUAACACAUUUUACCGCUACCUCAACAAUACUCUUUGCGUCUUCCGGUCUCUAGUAAGACAGUAUCUCUUGCACGACUGAUAUUUGAGAUAUCAGAUUUCACAAGAGACUUAUCAAACAAGCUACGAAUGUUUUAGACCCAAUAAAUGUGGAUACGACUUGGACCGCCGGUAUUACCGCGGCGGCUGGCACCGGUCUUGCCCAGUCCUUAUUCAUCUGUCUUUUUGCAACAGAUAAAAGUUUUUCUAAGAAAAACACUCUGGUUUAUUUUAUCACUCUUGCGAGCAUUGUAAAAUUUCCGCGACUGCUGCACCCCAUAGG
rnacentral:rRNA from 1 species